rnacentral:lncRNA from 1 species
AUUUGAAAUUUUUUCUCACUUGGCUAAAAGAGCAAAAGAUGCAUACAAGUAUUUUAUGCCAGAGCUUGAUCGUAUUUACAAAAUAGCUGUUACAAAGGAAAAUGAAACACCUGAUGCCAAUGAAGCUCUACCAAACCAGCAAGAUUUGAUGCUUGACAGGGAUGAUGCUGCUGCAAAUUGUACUCUGAAAGACCCACAUAUAUCACAAAUAAAAGGUAGAAAAAGGAAGGAUUCUGACAAAACGCCUUCAGCAGGAAGGUAUAAGAGUGGUCUUGAGGUGUCAUUGAACAAGACCUCGGUCAAAAGAAGAGCAUGCAAAUCUUGCGGAGAAUGUGGUCACUAUCAAACAACUUGCAAAAUGUCAACUUAGCAUGUAAGUGAUGUUGUCUUAUUUUUCAAUUAAGAUGAGUUAUACUUGUAUAUCUAUAUUCUUAGCCUAUUUCAAGAUUAUAUAUCUAAUUGCACUUUAUUGAUAGAAUUUACACUUAUCAUUGUGAAACAUUAAUCUAACUUUCUAGUAUUACUUGUAGGUCUCAAUAUUGAGGAUGGCCAGGAAUGUCAUAUGAAGAUUGUGAAGAUGAUAUAUUGUUGUACUGUGUCAUUUUUACAAGACUAGUUUACUGGACAACUUCAUUUCAAUCAAGACAAUAUUUUUAAUAUGUUCUUUAACUCUUGUAACUCAUUCUUUAUUAUUUCUGGGAUUCAAUUUCUUGCUAUGAUUUCAAAUUUAAUUUGAAGAGUAGUGGAAUUAGAGCUCUUGACAACUCCUCCUCUGGAGAUAUCUAAUAUGAGCAGAGCAACAUUUUUUUCAUUUUCCUUACUUUUGAAUCCUACAGGUUUGGUGUUAACCGUUUAACUUUCUUAUUGCAUGCCACGUGAUGCUAUAGUUCUUGUGGCUUAUAAAGUCUAACAUGAUGAUCAAACAGCUUCAUAUGUUUUCUUUCAUAAGCUUGAGGUAGAGUUGCCAACACAGGUUCAAAGAAGGAUUCAAUUCCUAAUUCACUCAGCACUUCUAUCAUAAUAUGUAGUACAGCUUCACAUAUUUUUGUGGCGUACAUGAUGAAUGCUUAUAUACGAUUGGAUUCUAGUCAAUACCCAUUAGUAAAGGCAAGCACAAACCAGAGAAGAAAUUGACACCAGAGAUUCGACCCACGGACAAGGGAUAAAGAAAUUGUAGACUGACAAAAGAGAGGAGCCAAAAAAACCCGAACUUGCAAUGCCUUUUUUUUCAUAUGCCACAAAACCUGGCAAAAUCCAGAUCCAGCUAAAGGAUGAGGAAAGAAACGUUUUUCUUCCAGAUCCAGUAAGGGAGAACACCAAAUAACGUUCAGCCUAGCAGGUAGUGCAUGGGUUUCUUGUUUAUGGUUUGAUUAGCAUGGGUUUCUGGCUAUUGGUGGUGGUGGUUUCCGAGGAUGCGAAUGAGGGCGGAGGUUUAUGGUUGUUGGUGACGGUGGUUUCUCUGAGAUCGAGACCAGAGAGGAGGGGCCUUGUUAAUGGUGGGGCUCAACUGCUCAUCAUAGCAUCUGAGUCAUCGGCUUCGUCACCACCAUACAUGUUCGUCAGAUCUUCGUCACCACAAUCAUUACUCUAAAACGCCUUUGUGGACGGCGGUGGGUUCGUCUCCACCGUUAGACACACAUGUCGUUCGUCCUCAAGUUGCAUCUUGAGGUCGUUCAUGUCCCCUUCAGAGACGCAACCUUGAGAUGGAAGGAAAAAGAAAAAUUCAAAACUUGGGAAUCAACAAUUAAGAAGAAGAAGAAGAAGAUGGGUUCUCCGUAUGAUGGUUAAAUUUAGAUCUGAAAUUGAUGUUUGUGUCGUUUCCACUUCUACUUUGACUAUGUUUGGC